rnacentral:piRNA from 1 species
CCUAACAGCAUUAGCCUCUUUUAGGGCCUA